rnacentral:rRNA from 1 species
GGGUUCCUACGGGGGGCAGCAGUCGAGAAUCAUUCACAAUGGGGGAAACCCUGAUGGUGCGACGCCGCGUGGGGGAAUGAAGGGCUUCGGAUUGUAAACCCCUGUCAUGUGGGAGCAAAUUAAAAAGAUAGUACUACAAGAGGAAGAGACGGCUAACCCUGUGCCAGCAGCCGCGGUAAUACAGAGGUCUCAAGCGUUGUUCGGAAUCACUGGGCGUAAAGCGUGCGUAGGCUGUUCCGUAAGUCGUGUGUGAAAGGCGCGGGCUCAACCCGCGGACGGCACAUGAUACUGCGAGGCUAGAGGAA